rnacentral:rRNA from 1 species
AGAAUGAACGCUGGCGGCAUGCCUAACACAUGCAAGUCGAACGAACCCUUCGGGGUUAGUGGCGCACGGGUGCGUAACGCGUGGGAAUCUACCCCUUGGUUCGGAAUAACAGUUGGAAACGACUGCUAAUACCGGAUGAUGACGUAAGUCCAAAGAUUUAUCGCCGAGGGAUGAGCCCGCGUAGGAUUAGCUAGUUGGUGUGGUAAAGGCGCACCAAGGCGACGAUCCUUAGCUGGUCUGAGAGGAUGAUCAGCCACACUGGGACUGAGACACGGCCCAGACUCCUACGGGAGGCAGCAGUGGGGAAUAUUGGACAAUGGGCGAAAGCCUGAUCCAGCAAUGCCGCGUGAGUGAAGAAGGCCUUCGGGUUGUAAAGCUCUUUUACCCGGGAAGAUAAUGACUGUACCGGGAGAAUAAGCCCGGCUAACUCCGCGCCAGCAGCCGC